rnacentral:rRNA from 1 species
AGCGAACGCUGGCGGCAGGCCUAACACAUGCAAGUCGAGCGCCCGGCAACGGGAGCGGCAGACGGGUGAGUAACGCGUGGGGAUCUACCCAUUGGUACGGAAUAACCCAGGGAAACUUGGAUUAAUACCGUAUAAGCCCUUCGGGGGAAAGAUUUAUCGCCAAUGGAUGAACCCGCGUCGGAUUAGCUAGUUGGUGGGGUAAAGGCCCACCAAGGCGACGAUCCGUAGCUGGUCUGAGAGGAUGAUCAGCCACACUGGGACUGAGACACGGCCCAGACUCCUACGGGAGGCAGCAGUGGGGAAUAUUGGACAAUGGGCGCAAGCCUGAUCCAGCCAUGCCGCGUGAGUGAUGAAGGCCUUCGGGUUGUAAAGCUCUUUCGCACACGACGAUGAUGACGGUAGUGUGAGAAGAAGCCCCGGCUAACUUCGUGCCAGCCGCCGCUGUAA